rnacentral:rRNA from 1 species
AUACGGAGGAUCCGAGCGUUAUCCGGAUUUAUUGGGUUUAAAGGGUGCGCAGGCGGGAGAUUAAGUCGGCGGUGAAAUUUUGCAGCUCAACUGUAAAAGUGCCUUCGAUACUGGUUUCCUUGAGUGGGGAUGAAGGAGGCGGAAUUUGUGGUGUAGCGGUGUAAUGCUUAGAUAUCACGAGGAACUCCGAUUGCGCAGGCAGCUUACUAAACUACUACUGACGCUCAGGCACGAAGGCGUGGGGAUCAAACAGGAUUAGAUACCCUGGUAGUCCACGCAGUAAACGAUGAUUACUAGCUGUUUGCGAUACAAUGUAAGCGGCUGAGCGAAAGCGUUAAGUAAUCCACCUGGGGAGUACGUUCGCAAGAAUGAAACUCAAAGGAAUUGACGGGG